rnacentral:rRNA from 1 species
UACGUAGGUGGCGAGCGUUGUCCGGAUUUACUGGGCGUAAAGGGAGCGUAGGCGGACUUUUAAGUGAGAUGUGAAAUACUCGGGCUCAACUUGAGUGCUGCAUUUCAAACUGGGAGUCUAGAGUGCAGGAGAGGAGAAUGGAAUUCCUAGUGUAGCGGUGAAAUGCGUAGAGAUUAGGAAGAACACCAGUGGCGAAGGCGAUUCUCUGGACUGUAACUGACGCUGAGGCUCGAAAGCGUGGGGAGCAAAUAGG